rnacentral:rRNA from 1 species
GUGGGGAAUAUUGCACAAUGGGGGAAACCCUGAUGCAGCGACGCCGCGUGAGUGAAGAAGUAUUUCGGUAUGUAAAGCUCUAUCAGCAGGGAAGAAGAAAUGACGGUACCUGACUAAGAAGCCCCGGCUAACUACGUGCCAGCAGCCGCGGUAAUACGUAGGGGGCAAGCGUUAUCCGGAUUUACUGGGUGUAAAGGGAGCGUAGACGGCAAUGCAAGUCUGAAGUGAAAGGCCGGGGCUCAACCCCGGGACUGCUUUGGAAACUGUGUAGCUGGAGUACAGGAGAGGUAAGUGGAAUUCCUAGUGUAGCGGUGAAAUGCGUAGAUAUUAGGAGGAACACCAGUGGCGAAGGCGGCUUACUGGACUGUAACUGACGUUGAGGCUCGAAAGCGUGGGGAGCAAACAGGAUUAGAAACCCUAGUAGUCCC